rnacentral:rRNA from 1 species
GACGAACGCUGGCGGCGUGCUUAACACAUGCAAGUCGAGCGGUAAGGCCCUUUCGGGGGUACGACGAGCGGCGAACGGGUAGGAGUAACAACGUGGGUGGACCUCGCCCUCCAGCUCUGGGAGUAAGACCUCGGGAAACCGGGGUACCGUAAUAACCGGAUAUGACUCCAUGACGCAUGUUGUGGGGUGGAAAGACCUUGUGCGGCUGAGGA